UAAGGUUAAGUUAAUAAGGGCGCACGGUGGAUGCCUUGGCACUAGAAGCCGAAGAAGGACGUGACAAACGACGAAAUGCUUUGGGGAGCUGUAAGUAAGCGCUGAUCCAGAGAUGUCCGAAUGGGGGAACCCACUAACUAAUGGUUAGUAUCCAUAACUGUUAAGGUUAUGAGAAGGAAGACGCAGUGAACUGAAACAUCUAAGUAGCUGCAGGAAGAGAAAGCAAACGCGAUUGCCUUAGUAGCGGCGAGCGAAACGGCAGGAGGGCAAACCGAAGUGUUUACACUUCGGGGUUGUAGGACUGCGACGUGGGACUUUAAAAGGAUAGAAGAAUUACCUGGGAAGGUAAGCCAAAGAGAGUAAAAGCCUCGUAUUUAAAAUUCUUUUGAGCCCUAGCAGUAUCCUGAGUACGGCGAGACACGUGAAAUCUCGUUGGAAUCUGGGAGGACCAUCUCCCAACCCUAAAUACUCUCUAGUGACCGAUAGUGAACCAGUACCGUGAGGGAAAGGUGAAAAGCACCCCGGGAGGGGAGUGAAAUAGAACCUGAAACCGUGUGCCUACAACAAGUUCGAGCCCGUUAAUGGGUGAGAGCGUGCCUUUUGUAGAAUGAACCGGCGAGUUACGAUAUGAUGCGAGGUUAAGUUGAAGAGACGGAGCCGUAGGGAAACCGAGUCUUAAUAGGGCGAUUUAGUAUCAUGUUGUAGACCCGAAACCAUGUGACCUACCCAUGAGCAGGUUGAAGGUGAGGUAAAACUCACUGGAGGACCGAACCAGGGCACGUUGAAAAGUGCUUGGAUGACUUGUGGGUAGCGGAGAAAUUCCAAACGAACUUGGAGAUAGCUGGUUCUCUCCGAAAUAGCUUUAGGGCUAGCGUCGAUGUUAAGUCUCUUGGAGGUAGAGCACUGUUUGGGUGAGGGGUCCAUCUCGGAUUACCAAUCUCAGAUAAACUCCGAAUGCCAACGAGAUAUCAUCGGCAGUCAGACUGCGAGUGCUAAGAUCCGUAGUCGAAAGGGAAACAGCCCAGACCACCAGCUAAGGUCCCAAAAUAACUGUUAAGUGGAAAAGGAUGUGGGGUUGCACAGACAACUAGGAUGUUAGCUUAGAAGCAGCUAUUCAUUCAAAGAGUGCGUAAUAGCUCACUAGUCGAGUGACCCUGCGCCGAAAAUGUACCGGGGCUAAAACAGUUUACCGAAGCUGUGGAUGACACAAAAGUGUCAUGGUAGGAGAGCGUUCUAUGUGUGAAGAAGGUGUACCGUGAGGAGCGCUGGAACGCAUAGAAGUGAGAAUGCCGGUAUGAGUAGCGCAAGACAGGUGAGAAUCCUGUCCACCGUAAGACUAAGGUUUCCAGGGGAAGGCUCGUCCGCCCUGGGUUAGUCGGGACCUAAGGAGAGACCGAAAGGUGUAUCCGAUGGCCAACAGGUUGAUAUUCCUGUACUAGAGUAUAUAGUGAUGGAGGGACGCAGUAGGCUAACUAAACCGGACGAUUGGAAGAGUCCGGCUAAGCAGUGAGGUGUAAGAUGAGUCAAAUGCUUAUCUUUAUAACAUUGAGCUGUGAUGGGGAGCGAAUUUUAGUAGCGAAGUUAGUGAUGUCACACUGCCAAGAAAAGCUUCUAGCGUUUAAUGAUACUCUACCCGUACCGCAAACCGACACAGGUAGUCGAGGCGAGUAGCCUCAGGUGAUCGAGAGAACUCUCGUUAAGGAACUCGGCAAAAUGACCCCGUAACUUCGGGAGAAGGGGUGCUGACUUAGGUCAGCCGCAGUGAAUAGGCCCAAGCAACUGUUUAUCAAAAACACAGCUCUCUGCUAAAUCGUAAGAUGAUGUAUAGGGGGUGACGCCUGCCCGGUGCUGGAAGGUUAAGAGGAGGGUUUAGCGCAAGCGAAGAUCUGAAUUGAAGCCCCAGUAAACGGCGGCCGUAACUAU
rnacentral:rRNA from 1 species